UACGAACCGUCCAAACGUUAUUCGGAAUUACUGGGCUUAAAGGGUUUGUAGGCGGCCUUGUAAGUGGGGUGUGAAAUCCCUCGGCUCAACCGAGGAAUGGCGCUCCAAACUACAAGGCUUGAGGGAGACAGGGGUAAGCGGAACUGAUGGUGGAGCGGUGAAAUGCGUUGAUAUCAUCAGGAACACCGGUGGCGAAGGCGGGUCUCUGGGCCGUAACUGACGCUGAGGAGCGAAAGCGUGGGUAGCAAACAGG
rnacentral:rRNA from 1 species